ACGGGUGAGUAACGCGUGGAUGAUCUACCCUGGAGUUUGGGAUAGCAGCUGGAAACGGCUGGUAAUACCGGAUACGGCACCAUUUCAUAUUUGGUGUUAAAGGAGGCCUCUGCAUAUGCUUUCGCUUUUGGGAUGAGUCCGCGUUUCAUUAGGUAGUUGGUGAGGUAACGGCUCACCAAGCCUUCGAUGAAUAGCCGACCUGAGAGGGUAAUCGGCCACACUGGGACUGGAACACGGCCCAG
rnacentral:rRNA from 1 species